UACGUAGGGUGCAGGCGUUAAUCGGAAUUACUGGGCGUAAAGCGUGCGCAGGCGGUCUUUUAAGUCAGAUGUGACAUCCCCGGGCUUAACCUGGGAACUGCGUUUGAAACUGGAAGGCUUGAGUGUGGCAGGGGGGGGUGGAAUUCCACGUGUAGCAGUGAAAUGCGUAGAGAUGUGGAGGAACACCGAUGGCGAAGGCAGCCCCCUGGGCUAACACUGACGCUCAUGCACGAAAGCGUGGGGAGCAAACAGG
rnacentral:rRNA from 1 species